UUCCCCAGGGCCAUGUCAGGCCCUGGUGCUACUCCUGUCCUAUUGCACCGGCUGCACCUGCACUGUGGUUCCAGCCAGGGGACCGUGAGCUCUGUGCAAGAACAAUGACUCUCGAACCUGGAAUUGGCUCCGUGUCGUUGGCUGUGCUGCUCUGGGUUCUGGGUUUUUGGCAUGGGAAGGUCUGCAUGUUGGCGUGUGUUGUGUAGGUGGAGCCCUCAAACUGCACCAUCACGGGGACCCCCUGACCUUUUCCCUUUCCCAGUGUCGCCCCACUUUUUAUCCUAACUUGACCUUGGCGUUGGUGUUUCUGAGAGUGAUACAGAAGUUUGCAGAUGUUCACAACUUAGACAAAUCUAAUUAUGCCCCCAACGCUCUUCUGCUACUCUCUUGUUUUUUUUUGUAAUUAAAAAAAGAGUCAAUUGUAGCAAAAGGCGCCUGACAUUAAAUUCACCAUCUUACGCUUUCGAAGCAGACGGUUCAGUACUGUUGGGUCCAUUCACAUUGCUGUGCAGCCAGUCUCCAGGACUUUGCCAUCUUGCAGAACUGGAGCUGUGUCCCCACAAAAGGACUCCCCACGCCCCUCCUCCCCGCCACGCCGGGUCUCUGUGUGCCUGAAUGAGUACCCUGAGCCCCUCAGAUGAGGGCAGUCCCACCAGUCUGCUCCCGGCAGCCAGCUAACUGCACUUGCCGUAGCAUCCUCAAUGUUCACUUAGGUCGUAGCAGGUGCAUUUCUUUCCUUUGGAAGGUCGAAGGCGUCUUUCUGCUGCACCGGUCCACGUGAUGCUCACGGGGUAACCUGUGAUGUGCACGGCUGCCGUCAGUUUCCACUGCUGUACAGGGAGUAUUCCCAAUGCUCACGGCAGUGAGGUCGCCUCUUGGCCUGCACGCACCCCCGUCCGAGGGCUCGGGUUUCAGUCCCAACUCAGCUUCCAGUUCCAGCUUCCUGCUGAUGGGCACCCUGAGAGGCAGCCAUGACAACUCAAGUACUUAAGUCCCUGCCACCUAUGUGGACUCUCAAUUUGGGUUCCAGACUCCUGGCUUUGAAGCCUCACCCAGCCCUGGUCAUUGCAGGCAUUUGGGGAGUGAACCAGUGAAUGGGAGGUGUCUAUUUCUCUCCCCCUCCCUCCCCUCCCUCCCUCUCCUUGCUCUCUGUCUUUCAAAUAAAUAAAACAAAAUGUUUUAAAAAGUUUAUGUAUUAGGGAGAAACUAUGCAUGGAUUUCACAACACUUUGUAAGCUUACUUUUAAUUCUGUUUUCCCACAAACUUUGACAUAUACUUGUGUUACUAUUUUAUAGUUAAUAUCAUAUAAUUAUUCUGUAACUUAUUUAUCCUUUAUAUUUUUAAAAUAUUUAUUUAUUUGAAAGGCAGAGUUGGGGAGAGAGAGGCACAGAGAGAGGUCUUUCAUCUGCUGAUGCACUCCCCAGAUGGCUGCAACAGCCAGGGCUGGACCAGGCUUGAACCCAGGGGCCCGGAACUCCAUCCAGGUCUCCUACAUUGGUGCAGGUCCUUUUCUGCCUUCCCAGGCACAUGAACAUGGAACUGGGUUGGAAGUGGAGCAGCCAGGACUUAAACCGGCACCAUACGUGUUGCCAGUGCUGUAGGUGUCAGCUUAACCUGCUGUACCCAAGCGCUGGCCCCAUCUUUCUGUAUUUUUUUCCUGGACUUUGACUUGCUUCCAGGCCUGUUUGCUUGCGUUGUAGUCAGCACACUCGUUUGUGUCAUCCGAUUCACCUGUGCCAGCGGUGGUCUAGCGUGCACACCGAGGGAAGUGUGUGACAGGGUGCGCACAGGCCAGCUCCACCGGAUAACACCACAUCAGUGUCCAGCACCUUCCUACUGAGUUCUCCUGGUGAGAGUUCCUAGUAGCUCCCAUCACCGCCAGCACUGAGGUCGUCAGAACUUUACUGGCUACUAGCUCGAGGAGGGGCAGCGGGAUCUCCUUGCUGUCGGAUUUUCAUUUAGCUGAUUGCUGCUGAAGUUGGAGCAUCUUUCUGUGUAUCUGACUUGAAUCCUCUGAUUUAUUUUUGGAUUAGAAGAGAAAGAAUAUGAGUGGAGAGAGAGAGAAGUGUGCUACAGGAAGCCUGGAACUGUAGCUCUAACUGACCAUAACCCUGGCAGUGUUUCCCCCACUGGAGCCAUUUAAGUUUAUAAAGUAAGCACUGAUCAGUGGCGUCAGCCUUUUUUAAAGGUUUAUUUAUUCCAUUCGAAAGGCAGAGCAACAGAGAGUGAGAGAUGGAGACUGAGAAAUCUUCCAUCUGCUGGUUCACUCCCCAGGUGGCCACAACAGCUGGAGCUGGGCUGAUCUGAAGCCAGGAGCUUCCUCUGGGUCUCCCACGUGGGUACAGGGUUCCAAGCACUUGGGCCAUCUUCCGAUGCUUUCCCCGGCACAUUAGCAGGGAGCUAGAUCAGAAAUGGAGCUGCCGGGACUUGAACCAGUACCCAAAGGGAUGUGGUGUCACAGGCAGAGGCAUAACCUACUGCGGCACGGUGCUGGCCUCUGGCUUCUGUCUUGGUCCUGAGUGGCAUCGUGUGGCCAGACCAUGAGAAAACAGAGGAGCAGAGUCUGUCUUUCUGGCUGAAAGGGGUGUGUGUGUCUAAGUCUAAAAUCCCGCCCAAGUUAAAGCAACAGUUCCCUAAGACGACUCUUAGAUUCAUUAGGUGAAUACAUAGGUUGGUGGUUUUUAGCCUGAUUUACUCUGUUCCUCAUUUGCUCCCUGCUCGCUACCACUGAAGCUGGUUGCAGAUGUCUGUGAUGGUUCCCGCUGGGGACAGCAGUGCUGCCAGGUGACGUUUGGAUAUUUGUGAGGACUUUCCUGGCACUGAUUGGCGGGGAACCAUGAAUGUGAUGAUGAGCUCGUCCAGACAAUAAGGAAUCAUUCCCCGAAUCAUAGAUCAUUUGGUGUUGACACAGUGACAGUCGGAUGUUUGUGUGGUUCCCAUGUACCAUGUAGGUGACAUGGGUGAUGGUCAGAUGUUUGUGUGGUUCCCAUGUAGGUGACACGGGUGCUGGUCGGGUGUUUGUGUGGUUCCCAUGUACCAUGUAGGUGACACGGGUGAUGGUUGGAUAUUUGUGUGGUCCCCAUGUACCAUGUAGGUGACACGGGUGAUUGUUGGAUGUUUGCAUGGUUCCCAUGUACCAUGUAGGUGACACAGGUGAUGGUCGGGUGUUUGUGUGGUUCCCAUGUACCAUGUAGGUGACACGGGUGAUGGUUGGAUGUUUGUGUGGUCCCCAUGUAGGUGACACGGGUGAUGGUCAGGUGUUUGUGUGGUUCCCAUGUAGGUGACACGGGUGAUGGUUGGGUGUUUGCCUGGUUCCCAUGUAGGUGGCACAGAUCGUCAUCGGAUAUUUGCGUGGUUCCCAUGUAGCACAUAGGCUCAUGUUACAGGACUCACGUUGGUUAGUCUUGCAGCAAGUGGUGAGGCCGGAGCUUACUGCAGGCAGCAGGGCCUGGGUGCUCACCGAGUGCCCUCCGCAGGGCUUCGUAGAGGACCUCGUGUACGGAGCAUAGAGGAGGGGUGAUGGGAAGGAGGACGAGAACAGAGUUCAUUGUCAGAGACGGGGAGAGAGAACUCCUGUGGGCUGGCUGACUCCCGAUGCCUGAAGCAGCUGGGGCUGGGCCAGGCUGACUCUAGGAGACGGGACCACAGUCUAGGUCCCCACAACGGCAGAGACCCAGCCUCUGAGCCCUCACCCGCUGCCUGCGGGAAGCACAGUGGUAGGAGCCAGGAGCCAGGCACUGUGGCUGAUGGCUGCAUGUGUCCUAACCAGCCCCUGACCGGCUGGCGGAUGCCUGUCCCACGUGGGAGCCAGGCACUGUGGCUGAUGGCUACAGAUUUCCUAACCAGCCCCCUGACCACCAGGUGGACACCGGCCCCACAGAAGGGACUUUUUUUUUUUUUAAGAUUAAUUUUAUAGGCCGGCGCCGCAGCUCACUAGGCUAAUCCUCCGCCUAGCGGCGUCGGCACACCGGGUUCUAGUCCUGGUCGGGGCGCAGGAUUCUGUCCCGGUUGCCCCUCUUCCAGGCCAGCUCUCUGCUGUGGCCAGGGAGUGCAGUGGAGGAUGGCCCAAGUGCUUGGGCCCUGCACCCCAUGGGAGACCAGGAAAAGCACCUGGCUCCUGGCUCCUGCCAUCGGAUCAGCACAGUGCGCCGGCCGCAGCACGCCGGCCGCGGCGGCCAUUGGAGGGUGAACCAACGGCAAAGGAAGACCUUUCUCUCUGUCUCUCUCUCUCUCACUGUCCACUCUGCCUGUCAAAAAAAAAAAAA